AGCGAACGCUGGCGGCAUGCUUAACACACGCAAGUCGCACGGAUCUUUCGGGAUCAGUGGCGGACGGGUGAGUAACGCGUAGGGAUCUAUCCAUGGGUGGGGGACAACUCCGGGAAACUGGAGCUAAUACCGCAUGAUACCUGAGGGUCAAAGGCGCAAGUCGCCUGUGGAGGAACCUGCGUUCGAUUAGCUAGUUGGUGGGGUAAAGGCCUACCAAGGCGAUGAUCGAUAGCUGGUUUGAGAGGAUGAUCAGCCACACUGGGACUGAGACACGGCCCAGACUCCUACGGGAGGCAGCAGUGGGGAAUAUUGGACAAUGGGCGAAAGCCUGAUCCAGCAAUGCCGCGUGUGUGAAGAAGGUCUUCGGAUUGUAAAGCACUUUCGACGGGGACGAUGAUGACGGUACCCGUAGAAGAAGCCCCGGCUAACUUCGUG
rnacentral:rRNA from 1 species